UGGUUCUCGCAUCGAUGAAGAACGCAGCGAAAUGCGAUAAGUAAUGUGAAUUGCAGAAUUCAGUGAAUCAUCGAAUCUUUGAACGCACCUUGCGCUCCUUGGUAUUCCGAGGAGCAUGCCCGUUUGAGAGUCUUGAUAUCAUCAAGCCUUGCCCCUCUUGCGGGGGUGAUGGCUUGGACUUGGACGUGCUGCCGGCCGGAGAAUGGUCGGCUCGUCCGAAACGCAUUAGCCUCCAGUCCCGUCGGCUCUGGGGUGUUCUCGCUCGGCGUGAUAAGAUCACCCGUCGGGGGACCCCCUCAGCCCGGCCUUGUGGACCUGGCUUCCAACCGUCUGACAGGACAACCUUGAACGUCUGACCUCAAAUCGGGUAGGACUACCCGCUGA
rnacentral:misc_RNA from 1 species